AAAGACUUUAAUUCCUUAACUGUUGCAAAAUAAUUAUUUUUUCAACUUUACAGAAAUAUAAUUUACAAGCAAGAUGAUGUAUGUGUUUUCAAGUGUACAACGUAGAUGUUUGCACUUAUAUAAUCAUCUUCCCAGACUAGUCAUUUCUGUUACCCCCCGACACACAGACACAAAGUCCCCCGUUACCCUUUGCGGUCUACCCUCACCCCACCCCAGACAUCCACUGAUUAUAUUUCUAUCACUGUAGAUUAGUUUUACCUAUUGUAGAGGUUGAUAUAAAUGGAAUCAUACAGUAUGUGUCCUGUUCUUAGCUUCUUUAAUUCGGCAUUACGUUUUUCAUAUCCAUUCAUGUUUUUGUGUAUGUCAGUAAUUUAUCCCUUUUUAUUGCUGAGUAGUAUUUCAUUGUUGGAUAUGCCACAAUUACUUCCCCAGCAUUUAAUGAUAUUGAGUUUGCCCAUUCAUCUGCUGAUGGACAUUUAGGUUGCUUUCUACUUUUUAAAAAAAGUUUAUUCAUUUUGGGAGAGAGAAGGAGAAAGUGUGCGUGUGCGCGCAUGUAUACGUGUGCAAGUUAAGGGGGGACAGAGAGAGAAGAAGAGAGAGAAUCCCAAGAAGGCUUUGUGCUGUCAGCACGGAGCUGACGGAGGGCUCAAUUUCACCAGUUAUGAGAUCAUGACCUGAGCCAAAAAUCAAGAGUCGGGGGCGUAACUGACUGAGCCACCCAGGCACCCCUAGUAUUGUCAGUGUUUAAAAUCGUUCUAUUAAAAAAAUUUUUUGAUGUUUAUUUUUGAGAGAAUGUGUGUGCAAAUGGGGGAGGGGCAGAGAGAGAGAGAGACAGAAUGUAAAGCAGGCUCCGUGCUGUCAGUGCAGAGCCCAACAUGGGGCUCAAACUCACAAACUGUGAGAUCAUGACCUGAGCCGAGGUCGGAUGCUCAACCAAUGGAGCCACCCAGGCGUUCCAAGGUUUGUAGUGAUAUCUCAUUGUGGUUUUAAUUUGCUUUUCCCUGGCAAUUAAUGAUACUGGGCAUCUUUUCAUGUGCUUAUUUGCCACCAGUAUCUCAUAUUUGGUGAAGUCUAUUUAAAUCUUUUGCCUAUUUAAAAAAUUGGAAUGUUGGUCUUCUUGCUGUAAGAGUUCUUUAUAUAUUCAAAAUACAAGUGAAUAUAUGAAUUGUGAGUAUAUGUGAGUAUAUGAAUUGAAAAUAUUCCCCCUAGUGAGUGACUUGCCAUUUUUCCUUGUGUCUUUUGAACAGCAGAAGUUUUAAAUUUUGGUGAAGGCUGAUUUCUUACUUUUUUUUUUCUUUUACAGUUAGUGCUCUUUGUGCCCUGCACAAGAAAUCUUUGCUUACAACAAAGUCACAGAUUUUCUCCUGUGUUUUCUUCUAUAUCUAGAAAUCUUAUAGUUUUAACUUUUAUACCUAGGUCUUUUUUGUGCUAAUUAUCCAUUUCGAUCACUUCUUUAGCUUUUCUUCCCUGCAUAACAAAUACAGUAAAAAAGGAAGAAUCUGAAAUAAAGAGAGUGCAUGCUUGCACGUGUGCGCACGAGUGGGGAAGGGACAGAGAGACAGAGGAUCUGAAGUGGGCUCCAUCCAGCUGCGUGCUGGCAGCACAGAGCCCGAUGUGGGGCUCAAACUCACGAAAUCAUAGUAAGUGAUCUCAUGCUCCUGUCACUAUUGAGAUAUAGUGACCAGACUUUGGUUUAUACAAAACAGUUUGGUUUUGUCUCUAAUCCUGUUUUUGGUAAUAUCUUUUUGCCAAAAGAGUUUGCUGUUAGUAUCGUCACGGAACUCCUAGUUCUCUUUCCUGAUAACCAGAGAACUAGAUAUCUCCUAUAACUAACCGAUCAUAUGUUCCUUAAAGCCAGUCAUACUUUAUUUGUGUUAAUGAUACCACCAUUCUACAGGCCACCUCAAGUAUCAGUAAUAAGUGUUAUUUACUAUUAACAUUAAUAAACUAGUACAAAUGUUAAUAACCAAAUAACAAGUGGUGUUAAUUCAGAGCAGGAUGAGAUCACUAUGGCUGAGGAUAACCUUCAUAGAAGAAGUAAGGAUUGAACUAGUUCUGAAAGAUGAGUAAGAUUUUGAUAUAUACUAACAGGGCAGAUUGAUUUGGAUUAAUGGAUUUGAGGAAGACGAGAGUAAGGAUCAGUACAUGCGUCAUUCAUGGUGUGACUCCCCUGUCUGUUUAUAGUGGACAUCAUUAAUCCAUCAUGGAACUCAUUCUUGCUGGUAAAACUGGAACUAGAUAGUAGGAAGAGAAAUGUAGACAUUAAAUGGAGGGAUAUUGUAAAAGAGGCAUCAGUGAGACUUUGUGAAAAUGUCUGACCUAGGAGGUCAAGAUAUGGGGCAUUUCCCAGGUGCAGUAGGGAAGUCCUUGGUGCAGAGACUAUGAAGGGCUUCUGUUGCAUCUGUGCUGAAUGUACAAGCAUCUGAGGGGUGUGGUGUGAUAAGCAUCAUAACCAGACUCAGAAAAAUAGCGCCAGGGGAAGACAGUGCGAUGUAAUCCAUCCAUUGCUCUGGAGAUCUGGGAAGCCAGAGGCCCACUCGCUCAAGGAGUCCCAACUUUUUCUUGCUGCUACAAAGUCCCCUCCCCCCUCAUACGUCCAAAUUCAUCUCAGAGAAGUGGGAGAGAGGUGACUCUCUAAGAGACCAAGCAAUUUUUAUUCAAGAAAGUCUGAGCAGUACCUUAAAGAUUAAAUGAUCAGAUCUAUUUUAAGUGGGUUGGGCACUUCUGAAGGAUGUGGUAUCAGCAACUGUGAAGAUGUAUAAAACCUUCAUGUGAAUAGAGGGUGCCAGUCAAGUCAUCCACUACCUUUGAUGAGGUAAGGCAGGACUGCAUGUGGAAUGAUGCAGGCCUGUGUACCUGUUGCCAAGAGGGGCUGAUUGGGCCCAUCUAAGUAGGUUAGGAUAGAUGCCAGAGGCAUGUGGCCUACCUGAUCAGGUAGCUCAGUGCACUUAGCUUCAGGGGGACUGUUUAUCCAUGUCUACCUGUCUCAGCACCACCCGUGUCCCAAUGCUGGCUACACUCACUUAUUGCCAAGAAAAGCAUAUGGUUGAACAGCUUCAAGAGAAUAGGUGUUAACUCUUCCUUAAAUGUUUGGUAGAAUUCCCUGGAAAGCUAUCUGGCCCCGGACUCUUGUUUUUUUUGGGGAGAUUUUUUAUUACUAAUUUGAUUUCUUGACUGGUUAUGGGUCUGUUCAAAGUUUCUAUUUCUUCCUGUUUCAGUUUUGGAAGAAAAGCGUAUGGUUGAAACACAUCUGUUACCCCUGGCCUUGUCAAACCUGUGAGGACAGAUUCUUGUAGUCUGCUAUUUCCCUCAGCAUCCCUCUUUUAUCUCUCCUCAUCCUAAGGAACCCAUUUUGUUUUUAAGAACCCAUUUUUUGAGGAGCCAUCCAAAUUAUCUCGAUUUUGUCAUUUACUCAUUUUUUAAAUUUAUUCUGAUGUUGAGAGUCUGUUAUACCAUACAUUGUCCUAAGCACUGAGGAUACAGCAUUUUGUAGAGAAAAUGGAAUAAACACAAAUAAAUAUGUAUAAUUAGGUUUGAACAAUAUUAAGUUUAAAAAACAUUACAGAGCGGGGGUGGCUGGGUGGCUCAGUCAGUUAAGCAUCCAACUCCUAAUUUGGGGUCAGGUCAUGAUCUCACAGUUCGUGAGAUUGAGCCCCCAGUGUGGAGCCUGCUUGGGAUUCUCUCUUCCUCCCUCCCUCUCUCUCAAAAUACAUAAAUAAACACUUAAAAAAUAUUCUGGAGAAAGAACAGAAUAUUAUUGGACUAUACAUAUUUGGGGGGAGACCUUGUCUGUAAAGGAAGUGGUGAUGUUUACACAGUGAUCUUACUGAUUUUGAGGUGAUUGUGUGGAAGGUGGGAAGUGUUUCAGAUAGAGGGAACAGUAUGUGCAAAGGUGAGAGAAUGGAAAGGAAUGAAAGAAGUUCAGGGUAUCUGGAGCAUGAAGAGGGGGUGGGAUGUGAGGUGAGAUGAGGCUGAAGAGGUAGGCAGGGGCCAGAUCAAGGAGCACCUUGAAAUCCAUGAUAAGGUGUUUAUAGUUCAUCCUUUAAAGGGGAGGCCAGUUGUGCCUGGGUGGCUCGGUCAGUUGAGCAUCCAACACUUAGUUUCAGCUCAGGUCAUGAUCUCAUGGUUUGUGAGAUCCAGCCCUUCGUUGGGCUCCUUGCUGACAGUGUGGAGCCUGCUUGGGAUUCUCUCUCUCCCUCUCUCUCUGCCCCUCCCCUGCUCGCUCACUCUGUCUCUCUCUCAAAAAUAAAUAAGCUUAAAAAAAAUUAAAGGGGAGGCAAGUCAAGGGUUUUAUGCAGAGGAGUGACUUGGCCAGCACUACAUUUUGGCUGUUUUAUAGACAGAUUGGAGAGGAUCAACACUAGAGUCUGGGAGACAAGUUAAAGGGCAGUUACAUUGGUUCAGGUGAAAGAUGAUAGUGGUUUGCACUAUAUAGAGUAGCACAGUGGAGAAUUGCAUGGAUUUGAGGGCGUAUUUUGGAGGUGUAUCCAGCAAGACUUAGAUGUGGACAGUGAGGGAGAUGAGAAUUCAGGGAUGACUGAGGUUUUGGGCUUCAGCAUGUAGAUGGAUGAUGGUGCCAGUUACUGAGCAAGAGAACUUUGGGGUGGGAAGAUAUUUUGGGGGGAAAUCAUGUGUCUGAUUUUGGACAUUGAAUUUGAAGUGCUUGCAACUCCAUCAAGUGAAGAGGUCCAGUAGGCAAUUGAAUAUAUUGAUUUGGAGGUGAUGGAAAUGGAUUGGCAAUCCAUGCUUGGCACAUAGAAAUAGUUGUUGGAGUUAUGCAUGGGUAUAGAUAUAAUUAUUGAGAGAGCUGAAUGGAGAAAAAAAGAAUAUUUAGAAUAAAGCCUCAAGGAAUACCAAUCAACCCAAGGGACAGGUAGAGAAGGAAGAGUCAGUAAGAGACAGCUGCCAGGUGGUUUGGGAGAAAGCUGCAGUAUGGUGUCACAGAAGGUGUACCAUUACAGCCUAUUGUAGAGAGAUGUCAGAGUGUUUGGCUGGACUCCUGGUGCUGCUGAAGUUACCUAUAAUAUUUGAUAGGGUGGGUGGGCUACAGAGGAUCAGAGGAGCAGACCUGGAGCUCCCAGACCACUAAUAACGUGGCAGCCUUCUGCCUGUCAAAGCUGAAGAAACUUGGACUCUAGGAGGUAGCAGGGGUUGAGAGGAUGGAGAAGGCUCCCAUAGAGAUGUGAUACCGUCAGAGCUCUGCCUUUAACCUGGUGAGGUUCAGCAAGAUGCAAGUGAAUCCCAGUCUGUGGACCUGAGCCAUCCUCCAAAUUUGGUUACAGUCUUACCACUUCCUAGCAGCUCACCCUUUUUUUCUGUCUCUGCCACUCUGAUUCUGAUGCCUAACUCAUUCCCCUUGGUUCUUGAUCUUUGGUUUACUUUGGCUAGCUCUCCCUUUCCGAGCAGUAACUCCCAUAUAUACAUACUUCUAAUAACCCCUCUGCGUGGCUGGCAAGCUGCAAAAGCUGACUCUUUAUGUACCUAAUAAGCAGUCACCACAGAGUAUGGCCCAGGAUUAUAGGCCUAGGUAUCUAGAGGUGUUAGUGACUCUAAGCCUUAGAAUUUUUGUUUUCCUCAGUCAUCUCCUUUUCUCCUGUUUUGCUUGUCUGAGAGUUAUUAUUAGCUAGAUGUUAAGGCUGGUUCUACCCUUCAGUGAAUUUUGGGUUCUAUUGCUAUUAUUCUGAGUUGGUGGUAUCUGGGCCUAGCCUUGCUUGUGGUCUUAAGGGUUUUGAUGACCUUUCCUAUGGAGUAAUAUUCUGUGGAACUUCCUACCAUGUGCUUUCUUUCUUUCCUUCCUGCCAGGAUUAGUAAAAAAUUAAUUUAAAAAUUCUGUCUUCCUAUUCUAAAAGCCUGUAACCUCUUUGCUCUGGGUAUUGGGUCUGAGGAAUGUCUGUAGCCCUUAGCCUAUUUCAGGACCUAUGAUUAACAUACCCUGGGUCUAAAUAAUGCAUUUGCAAGACUCCUGUGGGUUACAGUUUCAUAUAGGAGAAGCUUAAGAACAGGAAUCUGAUUGGAAGGGGAGGGAGGCAGUUAGAAGAUUUGUCUUGAAGCUGAGUCCACAAGAGUAAUAUGAUCAGCUGACUAGGACUGACUACCAGAAAAAUAAUAAAACAAAGAUGUGAUUGAUAAAAAUGUGUGCUUUCUUCAUUUAAGUGAGUUUUAUAAAUGUGGAACCUUAAAAAAAUUCUUCUGUUGGCCAAUUAAUUCACUUACUUAGUUUAUUCCUUCUCCAAACAAAGGUAUGCCAUUAACCUGCGAAUUUUAAAUACCUGAUUUGCUGACUUUUUUUUCUAUUUAUGUAUUUUUAUUUGGUUUACUUUAUGAGGUGGGGGAAAGAGUUCACCGUCAUUAAUGCCAACAACUCUUCCUCAAAUCCUCCAAGCAAUCUUUUCCUUGGUGAGUUGUGUAAAAUUCUAAUCAUUACUGUUGUGCAAUGCUAAAAUACCUUAUAUAUGUAACAGUGACAGCACACAUGCCCACACCCAGUGAAACAAGGUCAUGUUCCAGCAGAAAUUAUCUACAUUGAGGUGACAGGUGAUGAUGCCAUGACUAGCGGUGAACUCACCAAGGAAAUGAGCAUAGAAAGAAGAAUGCAGAAAGCUGAGGACCAGGGCGUGGGGAGAGGGGAGGAAGCUCACAGUUCAGAGGAGGAAGAGGACCUUCACCACAGUGAGAGAUUAGUAGACACUGAGAUGGGAGCAUGACUAGGCAAAUGAGCCGUGGCAAAAGUCAUGAGAGUUUCAAGAGCAAGGUGGUGGUUAGCAGGAACUUCUCUGUGUUUCUCUUCAUCCUAAUUACCUUUUUUUAAAUGUUUAUUUAUUUUAGAGAGAGAGAGCACGAGUGGGGGAGGAGCAGAGAGAGAAGGUGACACAGAAUCCAAAGUAGGCUCCAAACUGUCAACACAGAACCCAACACGGGGCUUGAACUCAUGAACCACAAGAUCAUGACCUGAGCUGAAGUCGGACACUUAACCAACUGAGCCACCCAGGCACCCCAACCUCAUCCUAGUCAUUUAUAAAAAUCUUACACUAGAUAAUUAAAUUCAAAAUUAUUUAUUGAUCUGUACAUGAACUGUGGUAGCAUUGUAUAAAAGAGGCAUUAAGUGUUUUGAAUAAAUAAACUGGUAAUUUAUACAUAAAAACUUCAUCAAUUUUGACUGGUAUAUUUGUUAAAUGCAAACUGCAGACCUAUUUCAGUGGGAUUUUAAAAAAUCUUUUGGGAGGGGUGCACCUGGAUGGCUCAGCUGGUUAAGCAUUGGACUCUAUCUCAGUUCAGGUCUUGAUCUCAGGGUUGUGAGUUCACACCCCGGAUUGGGCUCUGUGCUGGGCGUGAAGGCUACUUAAAAAACAAAACAAACAAAACAAAUCUUUUGGUAUCCUUUCAUCUCUUACAUCGUUUAAAAAAAAAAUUUUCGGGGCACCUGGGUGGCUCAGUCGGUUGAGCGUCUGACUUCAGCUCAGGUCAUGAUCUCAGAGCUCGUGGGUUUGAACCCCGCAUCGGGCUCUGUGCUGACAGCUCGGAGCCUGGAGCCUGUUUCGGAUUCUGUGUUUUCCUUUCUCUCUGCCCCUAAGCCACUCGCAUUCUGUCUCUGUCUC